rnacentral:rRNA from 1 species
ACGUAGGGGGCGAGCGUUGUCCGGAUUUAUUGGGCGUAAAGAGCUCGUAGGCGGCUCGGUAAGUCGGGUGUGAAAUUUCAGGGCUCAACCCUGAAAAGCCACCCGAUACUGCUGUGGCUAGAGUCCGGUAGGGGAGUGGGGAAUUCCUGGUGUAGCGGUGAAAUGCGCAGAUAUCAGGAGGAACACCAGCGGCGAAGGCGCCACUCUGGGCCGGUACUGACGCUGAGGAGCGAAAGCGUGGGGAGCGAACAGGA